CGCGUAGGCGGUUUCGGAAGUCAUGGGUGAAAGCCCUCGGCUCAACCGAGGAAUUGUCUGUGAAACCACGGAACUGGAGUGCUGGAGAGGGGAGCGGAAUUCCCAGUGUAGCGGUGAAAUGCGUAGAUAUUGGGAGGAACACCGGUGGCGAAGGCGGCUCUCUGGACAGACACUGACGCUGAGGCGCGAAAGCCAGGGGAGCGAACG
rnacentral:rRNA from 1 species